rnacentral:rRNA from 1 species
ACGAACGCUGGCGGCGUGCCUCAUCCAUGCAAGUAGAACGCUGAAGGCGGAGCUUGCUCUUCUGGAUGAGUUGCGAACGGGUGAGUAACGCGUAGGUAACCUGCCUGGUAGCGGGGGAUAACUAUUGGAAACGAUAGCUAAUACCGCAUAACAGUAGAUGUUGCAUGACAUUUGCUUAAAAGGUGCAAUUUCAUCACUACCAGAUGGACCUGCGUUGUAUUAGCUAGUUGGUGGGGUAACGGCUCACCAAGGCGACGAUACAUAGCCGACCUGAAAGGGUGAUCGGCCACACUGGGACUGAGACACGGCCCAGGCUCCUACGGGAGGCAGCAGUAGGGAAUCUUCGGCAAUGGACGGAAGUCUGACCGAGCAACGCCGCGUGAGUGAAGAAGGGUUUCGGAUCGUAAAGCUCUGUUGUAAGAGAAGAACGAGUGUGAGAGUGGAAAGUUCACACUGUGACGGUAGCUUACCAGAAAGGGACGGCUAACUACGUG